GAAGGCCAGGCAUGUGAGAGAAGCACAGGCUGAGGGAACUGGGCCCUGAGGUAAAGCCCAGGUUAUGAACUCGUAAAGCAUGUCCACCUACUGCAAGCUGGUUCCAAGCAGGUAAUGAGACGAGAUGGUGCUCCCUCUCCUGACACACAGCCACAGCACGUCUGAACAACUGAAGAGGGGAAGAUGUGAGGCUGGCUGCAAAUGCAGCUGAUGCUGCUGAAAAUGAGGCACAUGAUGCAGGGCCGCGCAAGUGGGGCUUCAUGUGAUCGGCGAUGUGCAGGACAGCAAAGCAGGCCACCAACUGAAACAGCGCUAAUCAAGCAGAGCAGGGAGAAACCUGUCACGAAAACAACAUCACGUGUUCCUUGAUAAUGCUUCAGUGGAAACCUCUUGUAGCAUAUUCUGCACUGCUUUGGCACCCACAAGAAAUUAAAGUAUAAACGUCCUGAGAAUUUA